ensembl:lncRNA
CUAUUCCUUGGAUAACACAUAUGUUGUUUGUGGAUUUUAAUGAUAAUUUUUCAUGCAAAGAAAACUUAAAAAAUGCGCAAAGAAGUUGGAUGUUAGUUUUUUUUUUUAGGCCGCUUUGCCAUGACUUCGCUGCUCUCGACGCGAAUGAUAUACGUCAUCGCCCGCACUUGGAACUCCGGUACAGACAUGGCGAUCUCUCUGCUCCACUUCACAAGGAGCAUCCUCUCCCCUCCUCCAUUCAGGAUCCUCUCUCCUCAUCCUCCAUCCAGCAUCCUCUCCCCUCCUCCAUCUAGCAUCAUCUCUCCUCCACCUCCAUCUAGCAUCCUCUCCCCUCCUCCAUCCAGGAUCUCCUCUCCACACAAGUCAUUUAGCACAUACUGCUUCAAGGCUCUCUUCACGAAAGCUAUAUUAGUUAUCCCUUGUCUGACCAUCUCCUGACUUUGAUUUUUUAGUUUUGGAUGGAUUGGUCUUGAAAAACAGGAUCCUGCUCCAAUUGUAUGAUUGUGAACUUCCAAUAGAGGAAUUUUUAGAUGAAUGAAUGUAGAGGUUGGUGGGUUUUCUGAGUUUUGAAGUGCUAUCUUAAGAUUUCUCAUAGCGUCUUCUUUAUGGGAUUUUGUGGCAUCCCCUCUCACACUGAAUGAGUCAUAUCUAAAAAGCAAAACAAACAAAAUUAAUCUACCCCAUGGUCUGAUUGACAAUAUUGAUCAAUCAGAUCACUUUCACUAUUGAUCGAUUCACACUGGAUUUCUCCUGCAAAGGAGACAGAGCGGUUGAAAAAAGCUUACCUCAGCACAUGCCGAAUGAAAAGUUUAGCUGGGCAGUCCAACUUCUUCCCAUUUUGGACAUGAAAACGUUUUUUUGUGUAUACAUGCUCUGCUGAACGUUUCUCCUAGACAAGAUAAAUGAUGAGAUUUUCAAUACAAUGUCGGUUUUCAAGUUGUACAAGUGCAAGACAAGUCAGGUGUAGAUUUUGCAUAGUCCUGCACCUAUUAGACAUCCAUUAAAACUGAAGACAUUGCAGCAAAAAAUUAUUAAAUCCACAAAAUGUUAUGUAAUUCUGUUUUUCAUGUAAUUUGAACAGUUGACCUGUGCCUGUCUGGACCCUCGAAUCAGAGAAACUUUGGUCGGUGGACCCUG